rnacentral:tRNA from 1 species
AAUAGAGUGCCUGAAUAAAGGGUUAUCUUGAUAGGAUAAAUAAUGUGUUUUUAACCUCUAUUA